rnacentral:ribozyme from 1 species
UUUUUUUUUUUUUUUUACUAGUUCCUUUUUACCAACGCUGGCGUAAAUUAGAAAAUAUAAAAAUCCAGCGAUUCGAGGGGUGAGGUGC